UACGGGGGGAGCAAGCGUUGUUCGGAUUUACUGGGCGUAAAGGGCGCGUAGGCGGUCGUGACAAGUCACUUGUGAAAUCUCCGGGCUUAACUCGGAACGGUCAAGUGAUACUGUCGGACUAGAGUACAGAAGGGGCAACUGGAAUUCUCGGUGUAGCGGUGAAAUGCGUAGAUAUCGGAAGGAACGCCGGUGGCGAAAGCGGCGGUGCUGGACCUCUUCUGACGCUGAGGCGCGAAA
rnacentral:rRNA from 1 species